GUCUCACUUUGGCAGACAUACUGAAAUUAGAAUGAUACAGAUUAGCUCCACUGCACAAGGAUGAUACGCAAAUUCGUGAAGUGUUCCAUAUUUGG
ensembl:snRNA U6 U6 spliceosomal RNA